CGGACACAUCACGUUGAAACACUAGUUCCCGUACGAUUACCUAAGUUUAAGCAACGUCAAGCGUGAUCAGUACCUAGAUGAGUGACCACUUGGGAAUAACAGGUGCUGUAAG